rnacentral:tRNA from 1 species
GGGGCUGUGGCGGAAUUGGUAGACGCACCAGCUUUAGGUUCUGGAGCCGUGAGGGGAGAGAGGUCGGGUCUCUCCAGCCCCA